AUUGAACGCUGGCGGCAUGCUUUACACAUGCAAGUCGAACGGCAGCGCGGGCUUCGGCCUGGCGGCGAGUGGCGAACGGGUGAGUAAUGCAUCAGAACGUUCCCAGUCGUGGGGGAUAGCCCGGCUACAGCCGGCUUAAUACCGCAUACGAUCUGUGGGUGAAACCGGGGGACCGAAAGGCCUCGCGCUAUUGGCGCGGCCGAUGUCGGAUUAGCUCGUUGGUGGGGUAAAGGCUUACCAAGGCGACGAUCCGUAGCUGGUCUGAGAGGACGACCAGCCACACUGGGACUGAGACACGGCCCAGACUCCGACGGGAGGCAGCAGUGGGGAAUUUUGGACAAUGGGGGCAAGCCUGAUCCAGCCAGGCCGCGUGCGGGAAGAAGGCCUUCGGGUUGUAAACCGCUUUUGUUCGGGAAGAAAGCCUCUGGGCUAAUACCCCGGGGGGAUGACGGUACCGGAAGAAUAAGCACCGGCUAACUACGUG
rnacentral:rRNA from 1 species